CAGGCCUAACACAUGCAAGUCGAACGCCGUAGCAAUACGGAGUGGCAGACGGGUGAGUAACGCGUGGGAACCUUCCCAGUGGUACGGAAUAUAACAGGGAAACCUGGGGUAAUACCGUAUACGCCCUUCGGGGGAAAGAUUUAUCGCCAUUGGAUGGGCCCGCGUCGGAUUAGCUAGUUGGUGAGGUAACGGCUCACCAAGGCGACGAUCCGUAGCUGGUCUGAGAGGAUGAUCAGCCACAUUGGGACUGAGACACGGCCCAAACUCCUACGGGAGGCAGCAGUGGGGAAUAUUGGACAAUGGGCGCAAGCCUGAUCCAGCCAUGCCGCGUGAGUGAUGAAGGCCCUAGGGUUGUAAAGCUCUUUUGUGCGGGAAGAUAAUGACGGUACCGCAAGAAUAAGCCCCGGCUAACUUCGUGCCAGCAGCCGCGGUAAUAC
rnacentral:rRNA from 1 species